CCUGGCUCAGGAUGAACGCUAGCGGCAGGCUUAACACAUGCAAGUCGAGGGGCAGCAUGAGACGGAGAUUCGUCGAAGUCUUGAUGGCGACCGGCGCAAGGGUGCGUAACGCGUGAGCAACUUGCCCGUUUCAGGGGGAUAACCGGUGGAAACGCCGACUAAUACCCCAUAGUAUUGAGUUUAGGCAUCUUUACUCAAUUAAAGAAUUUCGGAAACGGAUAGGCUCGCGUGACAUUAGCUAGAUGGCGGGGUAACGGCCCACCAUGGCUACGAUGUCUAGGGGUUCUGAGAGGAAGGCCCCCCACACUGGAACUGAGACACGGUCCAGACUCCUACGGGAGGCAGCAGUGAGGAAUAUUGGUCAAUGGGCGAGAGCCUGAACCAGCCAAGUAGCGUGAAGGAUGACUGCCCUACGGGUUGUAAACUUCUUUUGUUUGGGAAUAAAAGACGCUACGUGUAGCGUUGUGCAUGCACCUUACGAAUAAGCAUCGGCUAAUUCCGUG
rnacentral:rRNA from 1 species